rnacentral:rRNA from 1 species
UACGUAGGGGGCAAGCGUUGUCCGGAAUUAUUGGGCGUAAAGAGCUCGUAGGCGGUCUGUCGCGUCGGCUGUGAAAACCCGAGGCUCAACCUCGGGCCUGCAGUCGAUACGGGCAAACUAGAGUACUGCAGGGGAGACUGGAAUUCCUGGUGUAGCGGUGAAAUGCGCAGAUAUCAGGAGGAACACCGGUGGCGAAGGCGGUUCUCUGGGCAUGAAUCUGA